rnacentral:rRNA from 1 species
UGGGGAAUCUUGCGCAAUGGACGAAAGUCUGACGCAGCCACGCCGCGUGAGUGAAGAAGGCCUUCGGGUUGUAAAGCUCUGUCGAGCGGGACGAAAAAUUUUUAGGUGAAUAGCCUAGAGAUCUGACGGUACCGCUAAAGGAAGCACCGGCUAACUCCGUGCCAGCAGCCGCGGUAAUACGGAGGGUGCAAGCGUUGCUCGGAAUUAUUGGGCGUAAAGGGUAGGUAGGUGGUCUCAUUUGUCUGGGGUGAAAGCCUUGAGCUUAACUCAAGAAGUGCCCCAGAAACGGUGAGACUGGAGUCCUGGAGAGGGUCGUGGAAUUCCCGGUGUAGCGGUGAAAUGCGUAGAGAUCGGGAGGAACACCAGAGGCGAAGGCGGCGACCUGGACAGGUACUGACACUCAACUACGAAAGCGUGGGGAGCAAACAGGAUUAGAUACCCCCGUAGUCC